CUUACCAGAUGAGAGGGUCAUCAAAGGGGGAGAUGUACACCCAACCCGGGUUAUUCUUUUCCAGAGCCUUAGCCAGUUGGAUGGCCUCAUCCAGCAUCUGCAGGGGGCGGGGCGGGAAGAGACUGAGAUGAUGAGGGUCUCCAUUCAGUUAUCAGCCCUGCCGCCCACGACGGGUCCGCCACUCACCUCUCCCACCACUUCGACUGUAGCGCCUUCAUUCUUGAGCCGCUCAAUGAUUUGUUGGGACUGGAGAGAUGGCUCAGCAGUUAAGAGCACUGACUGCUCUUCCAGGGGUCCUGAGUUCAAUUCCCGGCACCCACAUGGUGGCUCACAACCAUCUGUAAUGCCCUCUUCUGGUGUGUCUGAAGACAGUGACAGUGUACUAUAUAUAUAUUUAAAGAUUUGUUUUAU
rnacentral:lncRNA from 1 species